rnacentral:lncRNA from 1 species
AACUUUCUGAUAUGCAAAUGUCUUAAUGUUUUGCCUAGAGUUAUUCUUACUUCCUGCUCAACAACUCCAGUCAACAUAAUAUUAUCGGUAUUUGGUGAAAACCAUCACCCCUACAUCUUUAAAGUUUUUUUUUAUGAUGGUUAUUAUUUUCUUAUAUAAUGGCAGUUCUAGUGGCUUCCAUUUGAGUUUUCUACCAUAACUGCCCUCAUUCCAUUGGUUAUGAAUAAAUGUGGGGAUUCUUACAGUUGCUGAGUUUGUCUAUCCAAAUUACACAUUCUGAAAGUUGGGAAACAAUAAUAGGAUGGGUUUGGGGACCUACUGGGUGCACUGUAAGAUGAACCUGAGCUAAAACUUCAUUGAUCAACUGACUUCUAUAAACCUCUAUUCUAGAAAUACAGUUGUUCAUAUCAUUCCCCUAUAAUCCCUUUUUAUUUCAAUUAAGUCAGUGAUGAUAGUUCCUCUUUCAGUCCUGAUUUUAGGAGUUUUAGUUUUCUCUUCUUUUUGUUUUGAUAAGUCUACCUAAAGAUGUGUCAAUUUUAUUGACCUAUUUAAGAAAUCAAUUUUUGUUUCAUUGAUUUUCUCUAUUAUUUUUGUAUUCUCUAUGUCAGCUUUUUAUAUUGUAAUGUUUAGUUUCGUUCCUUCUGCUUCUUUGGGUUAAGUUUUCUUUUAUUUGUAGUUUUUCAAAAGUUUUAAAACGGAAGAAAUAUCUCAAAUCAUUGACAUUUUUAAUAUAUGUCUUCUAAUCUAUAAACUUCUGUAAAAGAAC